rnacentral:rRNA from 1 species
GUGCCAGCGCCGCGGUAACACCGGUAGCCCAAGUGAUGGCCGAUAUUAUUGGGCCUAAAGCGUCCGUAGCUGGCCGACCAAGUCUCCCGGGAAAUCCACCCGCCCAACGGGUGGGCGUCCGACGGAAACUGCACAGCUUGGGACCGGAAGGCUCGAAGGGUACGUUCGGGGUAGGAGUGAAAUCCCAUAAUCCCGCACGGACCACCGAUGGCGAAAGCAUUUCGAGAAAACGGAUCCGACAGUGAGGGACGAAAGCCAGGGUCUCCAACCGGAUUAGAAACCCGAGUAGUCC